UGCAGUCGACGGCAGCACGGGGGCAACCCUGGUGGCGAGUGGCGAACGGGUGAGUAAUGUAUCGGAACGUACCCAGUCGUGGGGGAUAACUAUCCGAAAGGAUAGCUAAUACCGCAUACGUCCUGAGGGAGAAAGCGGGGGACCUGCAAGGGCCUCGCGCGAUUGGAGCGGCCGAUAUCGGAUUAGCUAGUUGGUGAGGUAAAGGCUCACCAAGGCGACGAUCCGUAGCGGGUCUGAGAGGACGACCCGCCACACUGGAACUGAGACACGGUCCAGACUCCUACGGGAGGCAGCAGUGGGGAAUUUUGGACAAUGGGGGAAACCCUGAUCCAGCCAUUCCGCGUGAGUGAAGAAGGCCUUCGGGUUGUAAAGCUCUUUCAGCAGGAACGAAACGGUCGGCUUUAAUAAAGUCGGCUAAUGACGGUACCUGCAGAAGAAGCACCGGCUAACUACGUGCCAGCA
rnacentral:rRNA from 1 species